GAUGAACGCUGGCGGCGUGCUUAACACAUGCAAGUCGAACGAAGCACUUAAUGAGAUUUCUUCGGAUUGAUUAUUUUGUGACUGAGUGGCGACGGGUGAGUAACGCGUGGGUAACCUGCCCCAGACCGGGGGAUAACAGUCGGAAACGACUGCUAAUACCGCAUAAGCGCACAGUGCCGCAUGGCACGGUGUGAAAAACUCCGGUGGUCUGGGAUGGACCCGCGUCCGAUUAGUUAGUUGGCGGGGUAACGGCCCACCAAGACCGCGAUCGGUAGCCGACCUGAGAGGGUGACCGGCCACAUUGGGACUGAGACACGGCCCAGACUCCUACGGGAGGCAGCAGUGGGGAAUAUUGCACAAUGGAGGAAACUCUGAUGCAGCGACGCCGCGUGAGCGAAGAAGUAUUUCGGUAUGUAAAGCUCUAUCAGCAGGAAAGAAAAUGACGGUACCUGACUAAGAAGCCCCGGCUAACUACGUG
rnacentral:rRNA from 1 species